CCGCGGCCCCGCAACAGGCACCGGGACACGUCUGCUUCCGAGCGGGGCGGGACGCUCCGCAUCCACAUCCGGGGCGGCCGCGGGGCGGGGCGGGGUUUGGGCUCCGCCGAGGGACGGACGGACGGCGGGUGUAGCGCGGCGGUACUGAGGGCUUAUUAGUAAAGGAUGGAUUUCACAGAGGCAUAUUCCGACCGGUGUUCCGCUGUGGGGCUUGCAGCAAGAGAAGGGAAUGCUGAAGUGCUGCAGAAGCUGAUCGGGCAGGGAUACAGCCUUGAUGUCCCUGACAACAGAGGCUGGAUGCCAAUCCACGAGGCGGCAGCUCACUAUUCCAGCAAAUGUCUGAGGCUGCUCAUUAAUGCGGCUCCAUCUGAUAACUACAUACAUUCCAAGACAUUUGAAGGGAUGAGUGCGCUGCACCUUUCUGCACGCUGUGGGUCCUUGGAGUGUGUUGGGGUUCUUCUGGAAGCUGGAGUUGAUCCUGACCAAGUUACCACCGAAUCAAACACCGCCCUCUUCCUAGCUGUUGAAAACGGGCAUGCAGAUGUUGUCAGGUUUCUGAUCCAACAUGGAGCAAGUGUUGAAGGAUCUCAUUCCUGGUCUGGGUGGAAUUCUUUGCACCAAGCUGCAUUUCAGCAACACGUUGAGAUAAUGAAAAUACUCCUGGACAAAAGAGCAAACAUCGAGUGUAAGGAUGACUUUGGAAUUACACCACUGUUUGUUGCUGCUCAGUAUGGAAAGCUGGAGAGCUUGAGAACGCUUAUAUCCCAUGGUGCAGACGUCAACUGCCAGGCCAAAGACAGAGCCACUCCACUACUGAUUGCUGCGCAGGAGGGCCACGCCAAGUGUGUGGAGCUGUUAAUAUCAGAAGGGGCAGAUCCAAAUCUGUACUGCAAUGAAGAUAACUGGCAGUUGCCUAUUCACGCAGCAGCUGAGAUGGGCCAUAAAAAUAUAUUAGAGUUGCUAAUACCAAUUACCAAUCGGAUUUGCGACAAAGGAAAAGGCAAAGUGAGCCCCGUGUAUUCUGCAAUUUAUGGUGGGAAUAAAGAAUGUUUGGAAAUGUUACUUAAAGAAGGUUACAGUCCAGAUGCUCAGGAGUGCCCAACCUUCAGCUGCAGAUCACCCAUGUGUAUGAUUUUCCAAAGAAAGUUUUUUAAUUUAAUUGAUACUCUUCUGAACUACGGGAUCACGCUGCUUGGGAUAAAUUUGGGAUACUGCCUGUACCAUGACAAGUUUGCUUUGUUUCGACGCUUCUUGAAGAUAUGCUGUCCACUGCCUUCUCAGCAGGAGCUACCAGAGUUUCUAAGCUGUGCAAUUAAAGCCCUUGAUGAGUACAAGGAAUGGCUGCCUUAUCUGCUCUCAGCUGGCUUUGAUCCAGUGAAUUUACUCUACAGAUUCUGGAUUAACUCUCUGGGUGAGGAUGCUCUUAAUUUAAUUCUGGAGUUUACGAACUGGAAGAGGCUUCCUCCAGCUGUCGAGGAGGACCUUGCAAACUACAAAGAGAAGUUCACUUGGACUCCCAGGAGCCAUUUUGCUGUCAUUCCUUCCCUGUCUCACCUUUGUCGCCUUGAGAUCCGGUCCAUCUUAGGGAGUGAACGUCUGCGAUCUGACCGGUUUAUCCGGGCUUUGCCCUUGCCAGUCUGCCUGCAGGACGACCUGCUGUACCUACAGCUGCUGCGUGUCAGCACUGUGCCAGGAGCAGAGGAGAACCUGAGGCACAGCGAGGAGGGAGCUCCCUCUGCUGCUGCCUCCACCUCUGACCAUACAGAGAACAGGGAUGCCCGUAAUUCCCCUGCUAGGUGAUGGCACUGAACUCGGUGGCUGCAGACAUUGUAAAGGCAGACAACAGAGAACUACUGAUCUCAACUUGAGUGAAUACCAAGUGAAAGCACAUAGAGUUUCUUUCUUUUUAAGGUGGUCUAAUGGAUGAAGCAGAGAGAAAGCCCCAGAGCACUCCUAACAGGUAGGAACUUGCGCAUACUCCUUUGUUUAACAGCAUUCUUCAAAUAGAAGCUGACAACUUUAUAUAACCUUGACUAUUCAGAUUUGCAUAAGAAGGGCUUUAUCUCUGGUUAGGACUCUGUGAACCAUCACUGCACAUCUUCACCACCAGCACUUACACAGUCUCAUAGACAAAGCAGCUGAGAUCUGAGGACCUCCCCCAGGAAGGCACUGUUUCCUUCAAACAGUAGUGCUUCCUAUCCCCCUUUCUGUUAGUUCUUAUGGAAAAAGUGCUUUACUACCUACUGUGUCGCCAACCACUGUACGUUCAGAAGCACCUCCUAGAUGGAUAGAAGGAUAUACCUUACAGAGACCAGUGUUCUAUAAAACCCAGUAACACAGGAGAGAAAAGGCCCUUUGUGAUCACAUUACACAAAGUCUUCAGCAGAAACUGUUUUGGCAUAAGAAAAACUACAUUUAUGUCCUGUAAAGAAUAAAAGGCUUUCUCACAAAUUAUUGCCUAAAACUAGAUUUUCUCAAAGCCAACACUCUCUCCUCACUUCAUGUGCCAAGUUAUAGACAAUUUUACAAUGUCAAGGAGAAAACCCCGAAACUUCCAUUUGGAUAUCACAGUCCUCUGUUAAGAUACUGCAGCUUACCAUGGAAAGCAGGACAGCUGAUUUGCUUGCUUUAUAAACAUGCUCGAAAUGAUUUUAUACACUUACGUUGCGAAUGUAAGUGAUGCCAAGUUCGAAUAGUAAACCAAUGUCUGAAGAUAAGGAAUUGGACCUGACAAAACAGUCACCAUCCAGUAAGCUGGGUGAAAUGCCUGUUACCUUUACAGAGGGGGAAGAAAUAACAAUGUACAUGUUAAGAAAAAGAAAGCCAGCAGUCACCUCUGAAUUCUAAAGUCAAUUAAACACAUCACUAAUUUACAUAAGAUCUCAGACCCAACCCCAUUGCAUAUAGAAGAAAAUGAGAAGUGGAGAACCAAUUUGAGUUGAAACCAUUGCUCUGUUUAUUCUUCACGUUGCCUUUAACCACGGCUGUGCUACGAAGCACAGAUACCUACCCUUGCAGAAAAGGUCCACGUCUGAGGGUUUUUAGGUUGCCACGUAGCUCUCACUGUAUGAAUGUUACUCAGUACCUAAAACAUGAUAGUAGGGAAAAAUGCUAAAACAAGUUUUAGCAGCAGUGCCAGGGCCUCACCACCCUGUAAGUAAGAAAUCUGAGCAUGACCCUGCCCCAAAUAUUCCCAGGCCCAUCAGAGAGAACAGAGCAGCCCAAACAGGGCUCACCUCCACUAACACAAAGAAGCACAACAACAGGUGGAAGAACCAAAACUGUGGAUGCACAGAAAUGGAGUCCCCACCCCAGCCCCUCCCAGGGCUAUCUAUGAGCUGGGUGUGACACCCAUCAAGAUGAGUUAACAUGAGGGACACCCAGUAUCACAGCCAAAAAAGGGUGCUGCUUAGGGCUGGGAGGCCCUGUAGGGAGGGAGGAAGAGAGAACAUCUUGGGACUGCAGGUGCGUAAUGUGAUGUUCAGAGGAGGAACCACGGCAGAAAGAAGACUGAGGUGGUUUGUGGAAUGCACUGAGUGGGACAUUACAGGGGUAAGGGGAUAAAGCAGUGUGCUUGUGAGAAGGCUGCUAUGCAUGCCUGGCCAUGCCCUGCCCCUGAUCAGUGCAGUUUAUCCUGUCUUCUCAUUCAACUUCAUUUCUCACUCUUCUUUUUUUCCUUUGUACGCAUGAAUGGGCUCUCUGUUCUGUGUGCAUGCGCAUGGAGGCCCAAGUUUCAGCAACCAGAGGCAGCCCACAAGUCGCAGGAAGACUACAUGUGACUGCAACUGAAUGAGAGUACACACCUCAGCAUGCUGUAUCAAGCCAGACUAAUAGGCAAGCAGGUUGAGCAGCCUGGGAGCCAGUUCUGAGUAUAUGUCUCUGAGGCAACUGGAGGAGAUGGCUACCAGAGGGACCAGAGCAUCACGUACACCUCAUCAAGACCUCUGUUGAUAAUCAAACUUACCCGACUGCCAUCGAAUAGACAGAGUCGAACGUGUCUACUGAGAACCUGAAUGCUGGAUGCUGGGAGAGGAAUCGUUUUACAGCUACACAAAGUUACAAUCAGGGAUACUCGAGUUGGUAUAGGGCAGAUCUGAAACACAGGCAACAAAAGAAGGAGUAAAUCUAGAGGUUCUUUCUGCACAUGGUUAUCAUUUUGUGUUCAUUUACAGAGAUGACUGACAGUAGUAACUAUUGGACUGGAUUCCUUGACCCACAAAACUAGCAUCGUACUGGUGGCAGCAGCAACAUUUCUUCAUGUACAUAAGAUGUUAAAACAUAUAUUGCCUAAAGACUCUAGGUUGACAGUGAAGAACUCUAUCGUUAUUUCACAGCAAAAUUGAUCUACUAAUACAAAACUUCUUUUUUUUAA